GCAUGCUUUUUACAUUUCAUUUGAGUAGCCCCUCGUGCACUAAUUCUCGUACAGCAUUGCCUGCCCACGACUGCGUUGUUUUGCCCACACGCAUUCUCUAAUUUGUUUCUGUCCGCGACCACGACCCUUCACUGUGCGUCACGCCGGUCUUACGCAGAGCCGGGCCACACAGCCUGUGUGAACAUCGCCGGCGGCCUUUCGAGUCGACUGCGAGACGCCGUGUUCGAAGGGAGAAGUCGUCGUUCCUAGGCUUCACGCGUCCCGCGUCGGCGGCGACCAGCAGCAGCAGCAGCAGCAGCAGCACGGCCAUGCUGAGCGGCGGCCGACCCCGACGAGCUCCCCCGCGAGACUGGCCCUUCCCCCGCGACCGGCUCCGGGUGUCUCCCUCUCCCGGCCAUUUCCGUCUGGACGCGGGUGGGAGCGGCCCACGGAGCGGACGUGCGCCACCGAGUGACGAACGACGCGGUGCCGAACGUCGGACAGCUCUUGUUUGGACACUGGCUGGUGUGGCGAAACAAAUCGGCUUUUCACGCACGCGGGAACAGCGCGGCUGGGAACAGACGUGGCUUCACCGCGAAAGUUCUGCGAAUGCCUGAACACGCUCGGACUCGAACUAGGAAAGUACAGCGCCCACUAAAGGCAAUUUCACAUGGCGUGAUUGGGGCGAAAAAAAUCGUCCUGCCGCGCACGUCGCCGAGCGAAUUUCGCCGACAGCUUUCACGUGCGACAGCGCGAUUUCCGUCGUAGCGAUGCGCUCACGAUGCGCUCGCAGUAUCCUUGCCUUCAUCGUUAAAUAAAAACAAUAAGGAAACUCGUUAAACAUUCCAA